rnacentral:rRNA from 1 species
GAUGAACGCUGGCGGCGUGCCUAAUACAUGCGAGUCGAGCGAACAGACGAGGAGCUUGCUCCUUUGACGUUAGCGGAGGACGGGUGAGUAACACGUGGGCAACCUACCUAUAAGACUGGGAUAACUUCGGGAAACCGGAGCUAACACCGGAUAAUAUUUCGAACCGCAUGGUUCGAUAGUGAAAGAUGGCUUUGCUAUCACUUCUAGAUGGACCUGCGCCGUAUUAGCUAGUUGGUAAGGUAACGGCUUACCAAGGCAACGAUUCGUAGCCGACGUGAGAGACUGAUCGGCCACCCGGGAACUGGGACACGCUCCAGGCUCCUGCGGUAGGCAGCAGUCGCGAAUCUUCCGCAAUGGGCGAAAGCCUGACGGAGCAGGGGCGCGUGAGUUGUGAAGGUCUUCCGUUCGUAAAACUCUGUUAUUAGGGAAGAACAAACUUGUAAGGAACUGUGCACGUCUUGACGGUACCUAAUCAGAAAGCCACGGCUAACUACGUG